GACCUGAUGCAGCCAUGCCGCGUGUGUGAAGAAGGCCUUCGGGUUGUAAAGCACUUUCAGUUGUGAGGAAAGGUUGGUAGUUAAUACCUGCCAGCUGUGACGUUAACAACAGAAGAAGCACCGGCUAACUCCGUGCCAGCAGCCGCGGUAAUACGGAGGGUGCGAGCGUUAAUCGGAAUUACUGGGCGUAAAGCGCACGCAGGCGGUUUGUUAAGCUAGAUGUGAAAGCCCCGGGCUCAACCUGGGAUGGUCAUUUAGAACUGGCAGACUAGAGUCUUGGAGAGGGGAGUGGAAUUCCAGGUGUAGCGGUGAAAUGCGUAGAUAUCUGGAGGAACAUCAGUGGCGAAGGCGGCUCCCUGGCCAAAGACUGACGCUCAUGUGCGAAAGUGUGGGUAGCGAACAGGAUUAGAUACCCUGGUAGUCCACACCGUAAACGCUGUCUACUAGCUGUUUGUGAAUUUAAUUCGUGAGUAGCGAAGCUAACGCGCUAAGUAGACCGCCUGGGGAGUACGGCCGCAAGGUUAAAACUCAAA
rnacentral:rRNA from 1 species